GGAGAAGCGGCUAGAGACAGAGACCGAGGAGUGCAUCGUGAAAGCCGAGCCGAUCCAAGACGUGCGCCUGGUUGAGCUCUUCCCUUACGUUCGAGAAGAUGGCUCCCAGAAGCACGGAGAUGAAGACGGCAAGCAACAUACGACAAAUUCCUCAGCGGCGUGCUCACCGAAUGUGGCGAUGAUGGCGAGGAUAUCCCCACCGCGGACUUCGAAUGGCAGUCCUUCGUCAAGGAGCAACUUAGCGCGCGGACCACCGAACAGUCGCCGACUCAGGCUGGAGAGAUUCAGCUCGGACGUCAGGUCUCGAACCUGCCUCAGAGUGGCCAUACUUAUCGUCCCGAAGACGUGGUCAUUGGCUCCAUUGCCGAGUAUUCCGACAAACGCGUGGUUACGCACACACAAAAAUAAAGACUCACAACACCGCUGGCCAAAAGGAUAGAAGACAACGACGAUGACGACAUGUAACGCCCAUGACGUGCAAGACGACUCAUACUUAAUUUACCACGAGUCGAACUGACAAGUGUUUGCGAGGUAGGUCCUGGGUAGCCGAAAUAGAGUACCGAUAACACGAUGGCCUACCGAAUUAUCGAGUUCGUAAAGGCAGAGGAAAGAAGAGUGAAAUUUAUAAGCAAUGGUUCCUUGGACUAGUUGGUUACAUACAUGGGUUGGGGUCACAGCGAUCAUCCUGUUUAGCUCUUAUCAGUGUUUUCCAGCUCUAACUUUUAACUGAGCGUUUAUUUCCAAAAUACCACCGCGUAUGUAGGGCCGCGCACCGAAAUAGUCCCAAUCACCACACAUGGAAGGAUGAAAGAUGCGGGAGCAGCAUUCAGCUCGGUCUACGCUACUGAAGCGAACAAUGGCUAACCUGUCUUCACAACGCUCUCCGGAAAUCAUGUUCCCAUAAAAUUUCUAGAAGAUUUGACAUGCAAAAAGCGUGCAUGGAACUAUGGUUGCCCUGACCAUGUAUCAGUAGCAGGAAGUGCGUUAAACAGAAUAGCAUGCACAUGAGCAAUAGUGAUAAUACGAAAAAGGUCGUUGUGCCGUAUUUGCAUAACCUAUCACGCGCACUAAAGAAACUUGGACGAGAGGUUAAAGCAGACUCAGUAGUUUCUGCUCUGGAGAAAUUGCUCAGCUUAUGCAGCGCCACUGAUCCGUCUGUUAAAAAAAAACGCAGAUUGCAAAAAGAAUUUUCUACUCCCUCUAGUGCCAUGCGUAAAGAAUGUCUAUCGCCUUCCGUUAUCAUGCAGGAAGAUUUACGUUGGACAGCCUGAAUGAUACGUUAAGAGAACGUAACCGGAUAUUGAAUCGAUGCUAAGAUGCUUAUGUGUCUGUGCAGUCCGGUCAUUUCGGGCGUAAACUCUCGUUUACGAAGCGGUCCGUUUUAUUUGAACGCAAAGUUACGCGAGAAGUUGACGCUGCUUUGAUAGCGAGGACCUCUGAUAGCUGCAUUAGUUGCCCUUCACUUGCCCUGACUGCAAGUGAAUUGGCGUUCCUUCAAGCGGUCGGUUUUCGUGGGUGGUGGUUGGGACGUUUUCGGUGUGCGGACCUGCGACUAUGUUGUUUUUAUGGAAAUAAACGCUCUCUUGAAAUUUGGCGCUCGUAGUGUCUCGCUCUUGUCCGUGUAAUCCAGUGCCGUGACCCCCCAUUGCUGAAGGAGUGGAAUGUGUGUGGAUGGGACGAAUAGCUCGAAGAACGGAAAAGUACGCGUCGCGCAUGACUGCAAAAUUUGGCUGGGAUGUUCACAGCGAGCCGCCAAUGUAGUUCAGGACCAUUGAACCCUGUAAUGCUUAAGUCAUGUUCAAUAUACUGCGCAGUUUGGACGCCGAAAUCGAAAAUUGUGCGCGUUACACAAAGUAGCCAAAUUCCACAUUGCUAAAAAAAAAAAACAAACGCUAAAAAAUUGAGGUGGGACAUCAGAAAGGGAGAGAGGCGGCGCUGUGCGUUUCAAACGGCGCCGUUCUUUUUGAACAUGGGGAAACUACCAACUCGCCCAAUCUGCCGCUCUUUAGCCAUAUUCGCCCGAGCCAAGUGUCAGUGUUGAAUAGCUUAGGAAGCCAACUACUAGCGACAGCAAUGAUUCCCGCUGGUCAUAGACCAUUCUUUAGCACAAAUAUGCCAUGGAUGGCGAGAAAUAAUGCUGAGGAAAUUCGGCGAGUUUUUUAUGUAGAACAGUGGCCAUUACAACGUUAAAUACUCCCCAGUUCUGUCGGUGCCAAUGUUUUUGGAUGCCUUCGACGGCAAGGGCCGGAGGAAUGCUUUUGCUGGUGUACGAAUGGUUAAGAGCUUCGAAAUAAAGUUACGGUGUGUGGAAUUAACGCCAGUGCGUGUCUGGUCUCUCUUCGCUAGCAUUUUCUUUCAGCGUGGACAAGCG